GACGAACGCUGGCGGCGUGCCUAAUACAUGCAAGUCGAACGCAGUGGGGACGGGAGAGUAACACGUUGGUAACCUCCCAUCAGAGGGGAUAACACUUGGAAACAGGUGCUCAACCGAUACUGGGGGAUGACCCCUCGGUGCAUUAGCUAGUUGGUGAGGUAACGGCUCACAAAGGCCACGAUGCAUAGCCGACUGGGGAGGGUGAUCGGCAACACUGGUACUGGGAAAGGGCCAAGACUCCUACGGGAGGCAGCAGUAGGGAAUCUUCGGCAAUGGACGAAAGUCUGACCGAGCAACGCCGCGUGAGGGAAGAAGGUUUUCGGAUCGUAAAACUCUGUUGUUAGAGAAGCGGUAUCUAACCAGAAAGCCACGGCUAACUACGUGCCAGCAGCCGCGGUAAUAC
rnacentral:rRNA from 1 species